GCAAACUUGGUCAUUUAGAGGAAGUAAAAGUCGUAACAAGGUUUCCGUAGGUGAACCUGCGGAAGGAUCAUUAAAGUGCCAAGCUGGGUAGAGCGUCUCAUCUUUUAGAAGGGAUCGCUCGACCCGCAAUCAGGCCCCAACCGUGUCUAUCUGAACCUAGUUGCCUUGGCGGGUCAGUCGGGGUGAUCUUCGACCGCCGAGGGUGAGCCGUCGGGCUUAUCCGGGCGCGCGCCCGCCAACGGAAUUUUAUUGAACUCUUGUCUAAGCUGGCUGUCUGAGUGAAAAUAAUAAGUUAAAACUUUCAACAAUGGAUCUCUUGGUUCCGGCAUCGAUGAAGAACGCAGC
rnacentral:misc_RNA from 1 species